rnacentral:tRNA from 1 species
GGUUCCAUAGUCUAGUGGUUAGGACACUGGACUUUGAAUCCAAGAACCUGAGUUCAAAUCUUAAUGGGACCU